AUUAUGCUGACUUCAUCCGCUGAUAUGAGAAGACCCAUCUUAACCAUAGGGGGCACCAUUUCCAGUGUUAAAUGAAGAAAGGAAGCAGAGCUUGAACACACUAAUGCAUGCAUUGCUCUCUUCUGACUAUGGCUACAAGAUAAACAUAACUGCCAGUCAUCAUCAAAUAAGCUUCACUUUCCAGCCAAUGAAGAGUACCACAGAAAACCACAACAGGACACAAGACAGAGAUCAAUGGAUUCUGGGGAGUUUAACCUAAUGAGUAAAUCUACAUCACAGUUCCUGCAUCUAUGGCUCAGGGGACAUCACAGAAGAUGGACCAGACAAAAGAGUUAGAACUGAAGGGGUCCCUGCAGGUUUCCAGGAGGAAGUUGACCACAAAGAAUUGAAAAGAAAACCUUGAUUCAGAUUGACUAUUUCAACAUGAAUCAAGACUUCUAAAGAAUCUAAUCUCAAGCAGUCUAUGUGUUAGGACAAAUUCAAACAUACUAAAGUUAGAGGAAACAUUUCCGGGCAUAACAUAAUCCCCAAAUAAAGUAAUUAUAAGACUCA